AGAACGAACGCUGGCGGCAGGCUUAACACAUGCAAGUCGAACGCGUGUAGCAAUACACGAGUGGCGCACGGGUGAGUAACGCGUGGAUAUCUGCCUUUUGGUUCGGAAUAACCCCGGGAAACUGGGGCUAAUACCGGAUGGUUCCUACGGGAUAAAGAUUUAUCGCCAAAAGAUGAGUCCGCGUACGAUUAGCUAGUUGGUGAGGUAAUGGCUCACCAAGGCGACGAUCGUUAGCUGGUCUGAGAGGACGAUCAGCCACACUGGGACUGAGACACGGCCCAGACUCCUACGGGAGGCAGCAGUGGGGAAUAUUGGACAGUGGGGGCAACCCUGAUCCAGCCAUGCCGCGUGAGUGAUGAAGGCCUUCGGGUUGUAAAGCUCUUUUGGCGGGGACGAUGAUGACGGUACCGCAGAAUAAGCCCCGGCUAACUUCGUGCCAGCAGCCGC
rnacentral:rRNA from 1 species